rnacentral:rRNA from 1 species
CCUACGGGAGGCUGCAGUGAGGAAUAUUGGUCAAUGGACGAGAGUCUGAACCAGCCAAGUAGCGUGAAGGAUGACUGCCCCAUGGGUUGUAAACUUCUUUUAUAAAGGAAUAAAACGAGGCACGUGUGCCUUUUUGCAUGUACUUUAUGAAUAAGGAUCGGCUAACUCCGUGCCAGCAGCCGCGGUAAUACGGAGGAUCCGAGCGUUAUCCGGAUUUAUUGGGUUUAAAGGGAGCGUAGAUGGGUUGUUAAGUCAGUUGUGAAAGUUUGCGGCUCAACCGUAAAAUUGCAAUUGAUACUGGUAGUCUUGAGUACAGUUGAGGUAAGCGGAAUUCGUGGUGUAGCGGUGAAAUGCUUAGAUAUCACGAAGAACCCCGAUUGCGAAGGCAGCUUACUAAACUGUGACUGACAUUGAUGCUCGAAAGUGUGGGUAUCAAACAGGAUUAGAUACCCCAGUAGUC